CUAGACUAUGACACAGGCUACUCUUAGCUCGACCUCCUCUUCCAGCGUGACGGCCGGAUCAAUCGCAUCGACAUCAAGUCAGUGCUUGAUGCUGUGGAGGACUAGAUGAUAGGCACCAUGCCUCCGUCUCGCCAUCUACUGAGCUGCUUCUCCCUUUUUGCUGCAAUGUGUUGUGCAGUGCCUUCUGUGGCUUUGUUCCCAGGAAAAGUAUGCCAGCGCAGCAUGGGCGAACAACAAGCUGGAGUAGGAGGUUUUGUUCCUGAAGGACAACCAGGAGGAGAACUAGAUGGCAUCCAGGGAAGCUGGAACCUGGAGCUGCUGCCCGAUGCAUCGUUUGGAGGAAGGAGCCAAGGAGACAUAGUCACCACGUGCCACGCCAUGGUGGUUGGCACGCUUGCGGCUCCCCUCUAAUAAGCAGCUGCACCUGGAACCGAUGGAAGUCUGAAUGAUCAUCUUCACCUGUGUGAUGGGAGCCUCCCUGCCGAAGCCGAGAGUAAGAGACCAAUGUCGGCCAGCGAUGAUGUUGGCAUGUCCGUUGAUGCGCGUGACCAUGCCACUGGAAGAGGACGUCUAGGAAGCGAAGCCGAGCUACAAGGUGCUGUCUUGGGAG